rnacentral:lncRNA from 1 species
GAGAAAGCUGCAGUGCACAUCCUGCAGACUGCAGGUGCUGGGCUGCCUCUGGAGUCCCAGAAGGCAAGCUUGGCUGCAGGACAGAAAGGGAGAACAGCUUCUCUCACCCCUGAGCCUUCACAAGCCCUUGUCUAUUUGCCGUUGCCUUCAAAAUAUACCUCCCCCGAAACCAGUAGCUUUCUGAGUCCUGGUGUCCCCUCCGCCCUUUCUGGACAGGUUUGGGAAGAAGAAAGCAGUCAGUGCUGGGCCUUAUUGGGGUGUGAAGCGCCUUGCUCUGCCCCUUCUGCUCACUGUGAAGGCCGCUGGAUGCUUCUCUUAGGCAUGGUUUAAGCCUCCGAUUACUAAACCCCUUGCCCCACAAACGUCCACAUUGACGAGCCUCUUUUUAGUAACUGCUUCCCCGUAAUUCCUUCAGAGGUUGCUGUACCCUUCGCUGAUGUGCUGCCCUCCUGUAAAACCUCCAGAUGCCUUCCCACGUAAUGCCCCUUUCAGAUGCUUUAAGCUGAGAGCUUAAACCACAGGUACCAUGGCUGACGCCUGCCAGGUUUCUGCUGCAGAUAAUCUAUGAUGGGAGGGGCAUAUUUUUUACUUCAUUACUUAUGUAAACUCUUGUUCCAGAAAGCUUUAAUGUGUGUGGGAGUGUUCUGGGUCUAUUAGGUCUGUGCGCAUGGGUGUGGGCAUUUGCCUGUGUCCACCGGGUGGGUCUCAUUAUGAAAUGUAUGUUUAUGUAGGGCUUUAAUGGCUGAAAAUGGCAAAGAGAUGAAUAGACCACUUGGCCCCAUGUGUAAUUGCCAGGCCCCUUCUGUGCUCAAAUGAGGUGUCCGAGUGAAGGUCAGCCCUUCCCUUCUGUAUUUGGGGCCUAUUUAUGCCACCAGUAAUUUUAUAAGAAAUCUGAAUAGUUCUCCCCUUUGAGUGCAUUUAACUCUUUAGUAUCUUCUCUCUUACCUAUUUGAGCCCCUCUAGCUACAGUCUGGCUUAAAUGAAAGGGGAAUUAUAUGCUUAAGAAAAAGUAGGACACGGUUGAGGCAGUUUGCUGACUGAAUACGCGAAGAAGGACCUGAUGGGCUCAUAUGCACCACUGCCAUCACAGUCCCCAUCGUGAUGCAAGCUUAUAUGAUUCUUGAGGUAACUCUACCAGAUACUUCCAGAUUUAGAAAUGUGUCAAAGGAAAAAUUGGUGAUACUCUUCUUUCCCCUGCCAGAAACAGCCCAGAUCUCCUCUUAAGCGGAAAAGAGAUUGACCUUCUAGCAGAGGCAAAGGUAAACUCCUAAUGGAGUCUUCUGGGGGCAGCUGCAAAGCGUUCUCCCUAGGACAGAUGGAGCCUCCCUUUCCUCAUCUACUCUGUGGGUGGUUUCAGGGCCCACGAGUCAACAUGAGGAGUUGUGCUGGUGGUAUGUGUGUUGGAGGCUGGGCUGGCUGAUUCACAGUGACGAGGAUGUCAAUAAUAACAAGAAUGAGAAUGAUGGUACCUAAUAAAGACUUUUUUUCCCAA